GUUGGGAAUAUUUUCUUAUUCACUGCAUAGUUGUCCAGGUCAAUAGGAGUUUGUUAGUUAGUGGAUGAAUAAAUGGUAUACGUGUCCAGCUCUCAUUACUUAGUGGCUGGUCUGUUGGGUUAAGUUGGGUUAGUGCCUAGUCUUUAGUUAAUUCUGUUUUCGAUUAUUUGAGUCAUUGUAAUGCCUAUUUAAAGGCACUGUUCUUUAUUCAAUAAUACAUAGCAAUUCAUUCUCAUUCUCUACGAUCUGUGCAACAGUGGUAUCAGAGCGUGGUUAGAGUGAAAUUAAAAGAAUUGAAAUUGAGAGUUUUGUGAGGGAGAGACAGCAGCAGCUUCACCCACUAAAUUGAGAGAGAACGAAGCUUUGUGAAAGUUCACCCACUAAAUUGAGAGCUUUGUGAGAGAGAACGGAGCUUUGUGAGAGAGAACCCACUAAAUUGAGAGCUUUGUGAGAGAGAAUCCACCAAAUUUGUGAGAGAGAACCCACCAAAUUGAAAGCUUUGUGAGAGAAACAACAGUAGCUUCAUCAAGCAUCAAUGGCGUCAGAAAACAAUUUCGUUCAACCUUCAAUUCCACGGUUUGAUGGUCACUACGACCACUGGAGCAUGCUAAUGGAGAAUUUCUUGAAAUCGAAAGAGUAUUGGAGCAUUGUUGAUUCUGGAAUACCAGAAUUAACCGAAGGGGUCGUGCUGACAAAUGCCCAGAGAACUGAACGAGAAGGGUUACAAUUGAAGGAUCUUAAGGCCAAAAAUUUUCUAUUUCAGGCCAUAGAUCGCUCAAUUCUGGAAACCAUUUUGUGCAAAGACACAUCAAAGCACAUUUGGGACUCCAUGAAAAAGAAGUAUCAAGGGUCAACAAGAGCAAAAAGGCAGCAACUUCAAGCACUUCGUUCUGAGUUUGAAACACUCCGAAUGAAGUCAGGGGAAUCAGUCACAAAUUACUUCUCACGGACAAUGGUAAUUGUCAACAAGAUGCGAACCCAUGGAGACAAAACUGAAGAUGUCAUCAUCGUGGAAAAGAUUCUUAGAUCCAUGACACCGAAGUUCAAUUUUGUUGUCUGUUCCAUCGAAGAGUCUAACAAUAUUGAAGAACUGUCAAUCGAUGAAUUACAGAGUUCUUUGUUGGUUCAUGAACAGAAGAUCAGCCAACAGGAUAAAGAAGAACAACUGUUGAAAGCCUCAAUUGACUAUCACCCUACUCCAGUCAAGGCUUACAGAGGGCGAGGCAGGGGACGAAAUGACUACAAAAGGAAUGACAAUCGUGGUCACAUACAGCAGUUUCAGCAUCAUCGUGGACAUCAUCAGCAGAAUCAACAUCAUGAAAAUCAUUUUCAUGAAAGAGGAAGAAGAAGAGGAGGUCAUCAGAAUGGUGGCAGAUCAGAACAUCACUCAAUCUCAGCAGACAAAUCCAAUGUGGAAUGCUACAGAUGUUAUAGGUAUGGUCAUUUUCAGUCAGAUUGUAAAACUAAUAUGACUAGAGGCUAUGGUGAGAAAUUAAACUUUGCUGAAAAAGAAGAAGAGAUUUCGUUGUUAAUGGUUUGCCAUGCAAAAGAAGAAACGAAUAGGAAUUUGUGGUAUUUAGACACAGGGUGUAGUAAUCACAUGUGUGGAGAUAAAUCUGUGUUCUCUGUCUUGGAUGAAUCAUUUCGUGAUGAUGUGAAAUUUGGAGACAAUUCUAAGGUCUCUGUGAUGGGGAAAGGAAGGGAGACUAAGGAAGAUUCCACACAUAAUAUUUCUAAUGUGCUUUAUGUACCAGACUUGAAGACUAAUUUACUCAGUGUAGGGCAGCUGCAAGAAAGGGGGUAUGAAAUUUCUAUCAAGAAUGGGGUAUGUCAAAUUCGGGAUGAUAAUUUGAGCUUAAUUGCUCAAAUAAACAUGACAACCAACCGAAUGUUCCCUCUCUACCUGAACAGCACCAUUCAAUCUUGUUUCUUAGCAACAAUGAAUAAUGAUGCAUGGCUAUGGCAUCUUCGUUAUGGUCAUCUAAAUUUUGGUGGACUGAAGACCCUACAAAAGAAGAGGAUGGUGACUGGCUUACCAAAAAUUGCAGCCCCUUCAUCAGUUUGUGAAGAGUGUGUUGUCAGCAAACAACACCGAAAGCCAUUUCCAAAGUUCAAGUCUUUGAGAGCAAAGAUGUAGCUGGAACUGGUGCAUUCUGAUCUUUGCGGACCAAUUAAUCCAACCUCCAAUGGUGGUAAAAGGUAUAUAAUUACCUUUAUUGACGACUUUAGUUGAAAAAUUUGGGUCUAUUUCUUGCAGGAAAAAUCUGAGGCAUUUGCCUCUUUCAAGCAUUUCAAAGCAUUGGCUGAAAAAGAGGUUGGAUUACCAAUCAAAAUUCUUCGCACGGAUCGUGGAGGAGAAUACAACUCUCUUGAAUUCACAGAAUUUUGCAAAGAUCAUGGGAUUAAAAGACAGCUUACCGCAACCUUUACUCCCCAGCAGAAUGGGAUUUCUGAGAGGAAAAACCGAACCAUUCUAAACAUGGUGCGAAGUCUGCUGAAUAUGAGUGGCAUUCCAAGAGAUUUCUGGCCUGAGGUGGUUACUUGGAGCAUUCAUAUCUUGAACAGAAGUCCAACAUUUGCUGUUCAAAAUAUGACCCCAGAGGAGGCUUAGAGUGGCAAACGACCAGCAGUGGAUUACUUCAAGAUUUUUGGGUGCAUUGCUUAUGCCCAUAUUCCAGAUGUGAAGAGGAAAAAGCUGGAGAACAAGGGAGAAAAAUGUGUUUUUCUUGGUGUUAGUGACCAUUCCAAAGCCUACAAGCUUUACAAUCCUAACACUAAGAGAAUUGUGAUUAGCCGUGAUGUAAUCUUUGAUGAAGACCAAUUCUGGUCAUGGCACAGCAGUGUUCCCAACAAGCCUUUGGUGCUAGAUACUGAUAUUGAUAAUGAUAAUGAAGAAGGGCUGCAAGCACAGCCGACAGUAGAGAGUUCACAACUAGUGGAUGAUCAAAGGCCUUUACAUGCAAGGACAAGGCCUGCAUGGAUGGCAGAUUAUAAAGUCGCUGGAAUUGCCCAAGAUGAAGACCCACUCACCUAUUUUGCCCUAUUUUCUGACUGUGAUCCUACAACCUUUGAAGUUGCUGUCAAAACAUCCACAUGGCGUCAGGCAAUGAAUGAAGAGAUUGCUACAAUUGAAAGGAAUAAUACUUGGGAAUUGACUCAGCUUCCAGAAGGGCACAAAACCAUUGGUGUCAAAUGGGUGUACAAGACCAAAUUGAAGGAAAAUGGUGAAAUCGACAAACAUAAGGCCCGGUUAGUAGCCAAGGGCUACAAACAAGAAUUCAGUGUGGACUAUAAAGAGGUGUUCUCUCCUGUUGCACGCAUGGACACAAUCAGAUUGGUGCUUGCAAUGGCAGCUCAGAACUCAUGGUCUAUUUUCCAGCUAGAUGUGAAAUCAGCCUUCUUACAUGGAGAGCUAGAGGAGCAGGUAUAUAUCGAUCAACCUCCUGGUUAUGUUAAACUUGGUGCUGAAGAUAAAGUAUAUAAGUUAAAAAAAGGCGCUCUAUGGACUUAAACAAGCUCCCAGAGCUUGGUAUAGUCGCAUAGAGGCUUAUUUUUUACGGGAGGGAUUUCAGAAAUGCCCACAUGAGCAUACAUUUUUUGUCAAAACUGAAAAUGGAAAAAUGCUGAUUGUGUGCCUAUAUGUGGAUGAUUUGAUUUACACUGGAAAUAAUUAUGCCAUGUUUGAGAAGUUUAAAGAGUCUAUGAUGAUUGAAUUCGAGAUGACUGAUCUCAGGAUGAUGCAUUACUAUCUCGGCCUUGAGGUAGUACAAUCAACAACUUGCAUUUUCAUUUCGCAAAAGAAGUAUGUUCAAGAAAUCUUAGAAAGAUUUCAAAUGAACAAUUGUAACUCAGUUGGCACACCUACUGAAGUUGGUGUGAAACUUUUCAAGGAUCCAGAAGGGAAGAGGGUUGACAGUACAAACUACAAACAAAUUGUAGGGAGCCUAAUGUAUUUGACAGCGACGAGGCCUGACAUAAUGUAUGCUGUCAGUCUCAUUAGUAGAUACAUGGAAAACCCUAAAGAGAUUCAUCUUCUUGCUGCAAAAAGAAUCUUUCGUUACCUACAAGGUACUGCUGAUUUUGGAUUACUCUACAAAAAAGGAGAACAUUCAGAUUUAAUGGGUUUUACUGAUAGUGACUAUGCCGGGGAUCAAGAUGAUCGGAAAAGCACUUCGGGGUAUGUUUUUAUGCUGGGUACAGGAGUCGUCUCAUGGUCAUCCAAGAAACAACCAAUAGUUACCUUAUCAACAACCGAAGCUGAAUUUGUAGCUGCAGCUUCAUGUGCAUGUCAAGCAAUUUGGCUAAGGAGGAUUCUUGAAGAAAUUCAGUUCAAACAACAAGGAGAAACUUCAAUUUAUUGUGACAACAGCUCAACAAUAAAACUAUCAAGAAAUCCUGUGCUACAUGGGAGAAGCAAGCACAUUGAUGUCAAAUACCAUUUCUUAAGGGAUCUCGCAAAAGAUGAAGUAAUUAAUCUUAUUUUCUGCAGGAGUGAAGACCAAGUGGUUGACAUAUUCACUAAGCCGCUUAAAACACCAUUGUUUCACAAGCUAAGGGAGUUGCUUGGAGUGUGUUCUUUGGGAUGAUUGUAUUAAAAGCUAUCUUAUUAUUCUUUAAACUGAAUGUCUGAAAUUGUUCAGUUUAAGGGAGGGAUUGUUGGGAAUAUUUUCUUGUUCACUGCAUAGUUGUCCAGAUCAAUAGGAGUUUGUUAGUUAGUGGAUGAAUAAAUGGUAUACGUGUCCAGCUCUCAUUACUUAGUGGCUGGUCUGUUGGGUUAAGUUGGGUUAGUGCCUAGUCUUUAGUUAAUUCUGUUUUCGAUUAUUUGAGUCAUUGUAAUGCCUAUUUAAAGGCACUCUUCUUUAUUCAAUAAUACAUAGCAAUUCAUUCUCAUUCUCU
rnacentral:lncRNA from 1 species